rnacentral:pre_miRNA from 1 species
CGCGUCGGUGCCGUGUUCUGUGACUGACUCGGCUGGCGCCUGCCGGUCUGUCACAGAACACGGGACCGGCCGCAU